UGUGAUUUCUCUGUAUUAAUCUCUAUAUAAGAAAUUGUUAUUUUGUGGAUUUUAAAUAAAGUUUUUUGUUUUUCUUGACAGGCACUAUUUCAUGGAAAGUUUAUUGAUACUGGUUUCUCUUUACCAUUCUACAAGCGUAUGCUAAGUAAAAAACUUACUAUUAAGGAUUUGGAAUCUAUUGACACUGAAUUUUAUAACUCCCUUAUCUGGAUAAGAGACAACAACAUCGAAGAAUGUGGCUUAGAAAUGUACUUUUCUGUUGACAUGGAGAUUUUGGGAAAAGUUACUUCACAUGACCUGAAGUUGGGAGGUUCCAAUAUCCUGGUCACUGAGG